UGAGGAAUAUUGGUCAAUGGGCGCAAGCCUGAACCAGCCAUGCCGCGUGCAGGAAGACGGUCCUAUGGAUUGUAAACUGCUUUUAUACAGGAAGAAACCCUCCCACGUGUGGGAGAUUGACGGUACUGUAGGAAUAAGGAUCGGCUAACUCCGUGCCAGCAGCCGCGGUAAUACGGAGGAUCCAAGCGUUAUCCGGAAUCAUUGGGUUUAAAGGGUCCGUAGGCGGUCUUAUAAGUCAGUGGUGAAAUCCCAUCGCUCAACGAUGGAACUGCCAUUGAUACUGUAAGACUUGAAUGCUUAGGAAGUAACUAGAAUAUGUAGUGUAGCGGUGAAAUGCUUAGAUAUUACAU
rnacentral:rRNA from 1 species